UACGUAGGGGGCAAGCGUUGUCCGGAAUCAUUGGGCGUAAAGAGCGCGUAGGCGGUCCGGUAAGUCCGCUCUGAAAGUCCGGGGCUCAACCCCGGGAGGCGGGCGGAUACUGUCGGGCUAGAGUCCGGAAGAGGCGAGUGGAAUUCCUGGUGUAGCGGUGAAAUGCGCAGAUAUCAGGAGGAACACCAAUGGCGAAGGCAGCUCGCUGGGACGGUACUGACGCUGAGGCGCGAAAGCGUGGGGGAGCGAUCCGG
rnacentral:rRNA from 1 species